UCAACGCAGAGUACGGGGGAAGUAGGUUUAAGACUGAAGUUUGUCGUGGACCAACUGCUUAUUACGUUUAGAUUUGAUAGAAAAAAGUAUCGCGAGAGAAAGGUUAAAGGUUUUAAAUAACAUGAAAACUGAAUUUUAAUGCAAAUAAUCAAAUAACAUACUUAGUGUUAUUGUACCUUUUGUAUAAUGGGUUAGCGAGUUAAAUUAAUUAGCAAGCGCAAGCGUAACGUAAGUAAUGUAGUUAAUUGAUUUAGACCCGAAACUAGGCGAGCUAAUAAUGAGCAAGUAAUAGACUGAACCCGUAAAUGUUGCAAAAUUUUGGGAUGACUUGUUAUUAGGGGUGAAAGGCUUAUCAAGCCUAGUGAUAGCUGGUUCUCCACGAAAUCUAUUUAAGUAGAGUGAAAUUUUUAAAUUAAGUUAGGUAAAGCUCUAAUACAAGGCCUAAUCGCGGAGUGUAAGUAUCUGAAGUAACUUAACUAUAAUUUUAAGCAGACUUUUAGCGCUAAGGUUUAAAGUCGAGAGGGAAACAGCCCAGAAUAUCGGUUAAAGUUGUUAAAUAAGUUUAAUUAAAAAGGUCCAACAGUAUGUUAAUACCGAGGUAGGCCUGGAAACAGCUAUCCUUUAAAGAAAACGUAAAAGUUCAAGUAUUAAUAUAAUAAUUUUUUAAGUUGUAUUUUUGGGCCUAUAAAUUUAUAGCAUAAAAAACUUAUACUGAAGCCAUAUUAAGAAAUUAGGUAGUGGAGUGUGGUUUAUCUUAAAAAAUUUAAAAUGAAAAUUUUAAAGAAAAGAAAACUAUUAAUUAUGCUAACAUGAGUAAUAAACUAUUUUUGAGAACAAAAUAUGCCGUAUGUUGACGUGGUUUUGCAGUUGCGAUAAUCUGACUGCAUAAAAAUCGAUCGCUAACCUCUAAACUAACGUUAAGAGCGAUGCAGGUGAGUCAUUACACUUUUUAAAGUGCCUUGCUUAAACAUUUAAGCUUAGCACAAUAGAAAGUUGGAAAAAAACUCAAAUUAAUCGUACAAAUACCGACGCAGGUCAACUAACUGAGUAAGUACAGGCAAAAAAGUGAAUAAUACUAAAGGAACUCGGCAAAAUAUCUUUGUAACUUCGGGAUAAAAAGAACUUUAAGAGUAUGAUAAAAGAGGGGGUAGCGACUGUUUAUUAAAAACAUAAGACUUUGCUAAAUAGAAAUAUGACGUAUAAAGUCUGACACCUGCCCGGUGCUGCAAGAUAAAAACAUCGGCGUAAGCUCUUGUAUAAAUCCCAGUAAACGGCGGCCGUAACCCUGACGGUCCUAAGGUAGCAAAAUCCCUUGACGGGUAAGUUCCGUCCUGCACGAAUGGUGUAACGACUGCCCCGCUGUCUCUAGUAUUAUCUUUAUGAAUUUGAAUUAGACGUGAAGAUGCGUUAAUAUACAGCUAGACGGAGAGACCCUAUGCACCUUUACUGUUAUCUAGCAGUAUAAAUUAACAAUUUUUCAUAUAGGAAUGUAGUGAUACUAUACAAUUGAAAAACUACUUGUUAAAUUGAUUAAUUUUAAAAUAGGUAACCUGAUACCCUUUUUUUGCUUGAAAGACAGUUUGGCUGGGGCGGCAACCUCCUAAAAAGUAACGGAGGUGUAUAAUGGUUAAAGUUAUGUAAAAACAGCGAACGCUGAAUGAAAAACUUAAGCUUGAUUAGUUUACUAACAUGUAAGCUAAGGACGAAAGUCUGUCAUAAUGACCCGAUUUUUUAGAUCGCAUAAAAAAUCGCUCAACGAAUAAAAGGUACGCUAGGGAUAACAGGCUUAUAAUUUCUGAGAGUUCCUAUUGAAGAGAUUGUUUGGCACCUCGAUGUCGGCUC
rnacentral:rRNA from 1 species